rnacentral:lncRNA from 1 species
UCCGGGAGUCCCGCCCCCGCACAGAGCCCUGCGUCCAGUCCCCGAGCCCCGCGCCGCCUUGGAGACAGAUGCGCUCCGUUUUCUCUUCUCCAGCAACCCGAGGUCGCGUCCUCCUGGCUCCACCAGUGUGUAUCCCUAAGAGCUGGAAGACAGACUGAGCUGCGGAAGGAGCAAAAUUGAUGAAUCAUCUGACCGAAGAUGGCUUGCUACCUGACAUUCUUUGUUGAACCAGGAAGCACACAGGCAGGCCUGACGCUGAGCAGCAUGGACACGGAGAUCAACAGAAUUGACUCAAGUUAUAGCAACACCAGCAAGCACAGUGCAGACAUCCUGGUGUUGGAGGAGCCUGACCACAAUUGAACCCCGAUCCUUACUCAUCACGCCUAUUACCUUGGGCAGGCACAGAAGCCCGCACUUCUAUGUAAGGUACUAUACUUCCAUAUAAGGUACUACUUCCAUAUAACGCCGUUAUGAGGAUUAAAUGAAACUGUAUACAAAUCCUACAGAUGUCUGAUGAUUAAUAUGACUAUUUUAUCUGGCAGUACGUAGCCCAUGUAGGUAUAUGUGAAUAAGAGCUGUUAUAAAAGUACAAUAUUCCUUGCCCUCCAGAUAACUAAGUGCAAGUGAGCAAGCAUCUGGAAAGGUGUGGCAGCCUAGGAAAGGGCAUGAAUACAGGUAAGGGACACUUCUUUCAAUCGAUAUCAGUUAUAUUCCCUAUCAGCGGCUAAACAUAAAACUUGGCUCACUUUCCUGUUGAGGACCACCAAAAACAAGACUGGGAGCUCACUGUGGCUUGGAUCAUGAACUCCUUAUUGACAAAUUCAGAC